CGCCCUUAGAGUUUGAUCAUGGCUCAGGAUAAACGCUGGCGGCGUGCCUAAUACAUGCAAGUCGAGCGGGAUUGGUGAAUCGCAAGUGAAGCCAGUCUAGCGGCGGACGGCCGAGUAACACGUGGGUGACCUGCCUUGAAGUGGGGAAUAACGGUUCGAAAGAAUCGCUAAUACCGCAUGCGAUCGUAGCUUCGUUGUUGCGAUCAAAGCCGCAAGGCGCUUCGAGAGGGGCCUGCGUCCGAUUAGCUAGUUGGUGGGGUAAUGGCCUACCAAGGCUCCGAUCGGUAGCUGGUCUGAGAGGAUGAUCAGCCAGACUGGGACUGAGACACGGCCCAGACUCCUACGGGAGGCAGCAGUAAGGAAUUUUCCACAAUGGGCGAAAGCCUGAUGGAGCAACGCCGCGUGGGCGAAGAAGGCCUUCGGGUCGUAAAGCUCUUUUCUAGGGGACGAUAAUGACGGUAUCUUAGGAAUAAGCUACGGCUAACUACGUGCCAGCAGCUGCGGUAAUACGUAGGUGGCGAGCGUUGUCUGGAUUUAUUGGGCGUAAAGAGCGCGAAGGCGGGGUCUUAAGUUGGGCGUGAAAUCCUCUGGCUUAACUGGGGGAGGUCGUUCAAUACUGGGGUCCUUGAGGGUGGACGGGGAGAGCGGAAUUCUCCGGUGUAGUGGUGAAAUGCGUAGAUAUCGGGAGGAACACUAGUGGCGAAGGCGGCUCUCUAGAUCUACUCCUGACGCUCAAGCGCGAAAGCGUGGGUAGCGAACGGAAUUAGAUACUCUGGUAGUUCCACGCUGUAAACGAUGAGCACUAGGUGUAGUGGGUAUCGACUCUCCACUGUGUCCAGCUAACGCAAUAAGUGCUCUGCCUGGGGACUACGGUCGCAAGGUUAAAACUCAAAGGAAUUG
rnacentral:rRNA from 1 species